rnacentral:rRNA from 1 species
AUUGAACGCUGGCGGCAGGCCUAACACAUGCAAGUCGAGCGGAUGAAGGGAGCUUGAUCCUGGAUUCAGCGGCGGACGGGUGAGUAAUGCCUAGGAAUCUGCCCGGUAGUGGGGGAUAACGUCCGGAAACGGGCGCUAAUACCGCAUACGUCCUGAGGGAGAAAGUGGGGGAUCUUCGGACCUCACGCUAUCAGAUGAGCCUAGGUCGGAUUAGCUAGUUGGUGGGGUAAAGGCCUACCAAGGCGACGAUCCGUAACUGGUCUGAGAGGAUGAUCAGUCACACUGGAACUGAGACACGGUCCAGACUCCUACGGGAGGCAGCAGUGGGGAAUAUUGGACAAUGGGCGAAAGCCUGAUCCAGCCAUGCCGCGUGUGUGAAGAAGGUCUUCGGAUUGUAAAGCACUUUAAGUUGGGAGGAAGGGCAGUAAGUUAAUACCUUGCUGUUUUGACGUUACCAACAGAAUAAGCACCGGCUAACUUCGUG